rnacentral:misc_RNA from 1 species
CACAAUUUCAAAAAUCUAUUUUAAACAGUAGCACAAAAAAAGGGAGAAGAUCUACAACCUCAUGGGACAGAAUCUGAGAUAUUACUCAAAAUGACUUAUUAUACAAAGGGAAUAAUACCCCACUGAACAUGUUAACGAGCUAUGUAAUUCACACAAUACUAGAAUACGAUGACAGGAUAAUACAAAAUCAACACGAAAUCUUUGAGUGAAUGUGCUAUCAAUCAUUACGGGAUUGCAAAGUAAAACACAUGCACUUAUCUUUCAUCGCUUCAGCCUCACU